GGAAGCUGGGGGCCGGCAGGGGGGGGAAUAGAUGGGGUGCGGGCUGGGUCCGGAAUACAGGGGCGUAAAGGGGGGGUAGGGGGCCUGGCAAGGUGGGUGUGAAAGCGCAGGGCUCAACUCUGGGGCGGCCAUAGAUACUGGGAGGCGCGAGUCGACGAGAGGCAGAUGGAAUUCCGGGUGUAGCGGUGGAAUGCGUAGAGAUCCGGAAGAACACCGGUGGCGAAGGCGGUCUGCUGGGGUCGAACUGACGCUGAUGCGCGACAGCGUGGGGAGCAAACAGGAUUAGAUACCCCGGUAGUC
rnacentral:rRNA from 1 species